rnacentral:piRNA from 1 species
UGAUAGUUCAGAUCCCCAAUAACAUUGU